CCUACGGGAGGCAGCAGUGAGGAAUAUUGGUCAAUGGCCGUAAGGCUGAACCAGCCAAGUAGCGUGAGGGAAGACUGCCCUAUGGGUUGUAAACCUCUUUUAUGCGGGGAUAAAGGUGUCCACGUGUGGAUGUUUGCAGGUACCGCAUGAAUAAGGACCGGCUAAUUCCGUGCCAGCAGCCGCGGUAAUACGGAAGGUCCGGGCGUUAUCCGGAUUUAUUGGGUUUAAAGGGAGCGUAGGCCGGUCUUUAAGCGUGCCGUGAAAUUUUGUGGCUCAACCAUGGGAGUGCGGCGCGAACUGGAGACCUUGAGUGGGCGGAAGGCAGGCGGAAUGCGUGGUGUAGCGGUGAAAUGCUUAGAUAUCACGAAGAACCCCGAUUGCGAAGGCAGCAUGCCGCAGCGUUACUGACGCUGAAGCUCGAAAGCGCGGGUAUCGAACAGGAUUAGAUACCCGGGUAGUC
rnacentral:rRNA from 1 species